GUGCUUGCUUCAGCAGCACAUAUACUAAAAUUGGGAUGAUACAGAGAAGGUUAGCAUGGCCUCUGCCCAAGAAUGACAUGCAAAUUUGUGAGGUUCCAUGUUUUU
ensembl:snRNA U6 U6 spliceosomal RNA